rnacentral:lncRNA from 1 species
GCUUGGGUACGGUGGGAUAAACAAAAAAUUGGAUAACAAAGGGUUUUGAACUCGGUAGUCAUGUUGUGUGAUUUUUCUUUCUCUUUUUUCUCUGUGCAUCACAUAUACUCUGGGGGUUAUAUUCACUCUUUUGACUCUUUUUCUACUCAAAUUUUCCGAGGAUUUUAUAUCUGUUAGAAUCUAAGGUCUCGGCAAGUGCAUUUUUCUCUUUUGUUUUUCUUUUCUUUUUUUCUUUUUUUUUUCUUUUAAAGAAAAUACAUACUAUUUUU